AUAUAAAAUUUUAUGCGUGUAUAUGUUUUAUUUUUAGGGUUCCUUGGCAAAAUAGCCUCUUUUUAUAGUGCAAUUUGCACUUUGGCCUAGUUUCAAUAGUUUUUAGCUAAAUAACAUCUUUUAUUAAUGAAUUUUUUGUAUUACCCAUUUUACCCUUAAAAUAAAAUAAUAAUAAAUUAAAACAAAAACCCUAAAAACUAUCGUCUUCUUCCUCUCACCCAUCCACCCACUCUCAUCCCACCGCCACCACCACCACCACCAGCGACCACUGUCCCUUGUCGCCGCCACCGCUGGCGAACACUGCUCAUCAUUAGCUGCCACCGUCUCUCCACAAAUCCGGCCACCACCCAUUCAAAAGAUGUAAUUAAAAAAUAUUGUAAUAUUAUGUGAGGAUUGUGGAAAAAGAAUGAAGACUCAUGGAAAUUGAUUUCAAAUGGCUCACGAUCAAGAUCAAGUUUGGUACAAACUAACCUAACUUAUGAGGAGUUAGUUGAAAACAUUUAUGAAGUUACAGAAAUCGAUCGCAACCUCUUCGAUAUAAAAUUAACUUACAAGAUAACGACAAUGGUGGAGAUUGAACCAAUUGCAAUAAAAAAUAGUACAGACAUUGUUAUUUUAUUUACCUGGCAAUUGCAAGAUAAGGACAAUGAUCGUAACAUUCUUGUACAUGUCGAGAGUUUGUCAUUGAUAAGAUUCCAUGUGCUCACGGCGUCGCUGCGACAAUGUAGUGUGGAGUAGAUGUAUAUAGCCUAUGCUCAAAUACACGACUGAAUUUUGGAGGAUGGCUUAUGCAGAAUCUAUUUACCCUUUACCACCUGAAAUAGAACGACAUCUUCCAAAAGAGGUUAAGUCUCAAGUUGUUAUCAAACCAGUGAAGUUAAUUCCCCCAAGGAGACCAAAGAAUAAACAAAUUCCUUCGAGAUGAGAGUUUCCAAAGGAGAAGACUAAUUCUGCAUUUGAAUCGUCAUCAAAGAAAGUAAAGGGUAAGGUUUCUGAUGUUGAUGGGGGAAAAAAGCAACGGAAGUGUUCCAAUUAUGGAUGUUAUGGACACAACGAAACCACAUGCAAGAAAUUAUUAUUUUUGGAUUUAUUUUGGACUUGGUUUGAUAUGUAAUGUUUUGAUAAUAUUGUGUGAUUUCAUAUUUUGGACUUGAUUUGAUAUGUAAUGUUUUAACUAGGUUGUCUAAAUAUUGAAAAUGGUUGUUGAUAGUUUUA